UGGGGAAUAUUGGACAAUGGGCGAAAGCCUGAUCCAGCCAUGCCGCGUGUGUGAAGAAGGUCUUCGGAUUGUAAAGCACUUUAAGUUGGGAGGAAGGGCAUUAACCUAAUACGUUAGUGUUUUGACGUUACCGACAGAAUAAGCACCGGCUAACUCUGUGCCAGCAGCCGCGGUAAUACAGAGGGUGCAAGCGUUAAUCGGAAUUACUGGGCGUAAAGCGCGCGUAGGUGGUUUGUUAAGUUGGAUGUGAAAUCCCCGGGCUCAACCUGGGAACUGCAUUCAAAACUGACUGACUAGAGUAUGGUAGAGGGUGGUGGAAUUUCCUGUGUAGCGGUGAAAUGCGUAGAUAUAGGAAGGAACACCAGUGGAGAAGGCGACCACCUGGACUAAUACUGACACUGAGGUGCGAAAGCGUGGGGAGCAAACA
rnacentral:rRNA from 1 species